AUUGAACGCUGGCGGCAGGCCUAACACAUGCAAGUCGAACGAGUGGCGGACGGGUGAGUAAUGUAUGGGAAACUGUCUGAUGGAGGGGGAUAACUACUGGAACGGGAGGCUAAUACCGCUUCCAUGGGAGUGGCCCAGAUGGGAUUAGCUGGUGGGUGGGGUAAAGGCCCACCAAGGCGACGAUCCCUAGCUGGUCUGAGAGGAUGACCAGCCACACUGGAACUGAGACACGGUCCAGACUCCUACGGGAGGCAGCAGUGGGGAAUAUUGCACAAUGGGCGCAAGCCUGAUGCAGCCAUGCCGCGUGUAUGAAGAAGGCCUUCGGGUUGUAAAGUACUUUCAGCGGGGAGGCGUUACCCGCAGAAGAAGCACCGGCUAACUCCGUGCCAGCAGCCGCGGUAAUAC
rnacentral:rRNA from 1 species